rnacentral:tRNA from 16 species
GGGUCAGUAGCUCAGUCGGUUAGAGCACCGUCUUGAUAAGGCGGGGGUCGUAGGUUCGAUUCCUACCUGACCCACCA